AUGCGGCGGUGCCGGGGCGCAGGGCUGGCGGGGCUGGCCGCGGUGCUCCUGGUGGCUGUGGGCAGAGCCCAGGUGCAGCAGGAGCCGUCGGCAGAGACCACCGAGGACACCGGCAUCAACAUCACUUGCUCACACCCCAAAGUUCAGGCGAACAACGUUCAGUGGUACCGUCGGCUUUCAGACCAGGCACCGCAACACAUUGUGACAGGAGUCACUGGAGAUAAACCAGUGCCGGACCCGCCGGGGCGGCUGUGGGUGGCGGCAGACCGCCGGUCCAGCGCCCUGUGGCUCGCCCGGCCCCGGCGCGGGGACGCGGCGGUGUAUUACUGCGCCCUGAGAGACACGGGGAGAGGAGCCGGGGCUGCGGCCGGGCACGAACCACGAAGCAGGAAGGGCGGCGGGCGGGGCCGGGCGUGCACCAUGGGGCAGACCACCAUCACCCAGCAAGAAGGACAAGUCACAGUGAAGAAGAAAAAAGACACCUUCCAAACAAGCUGCACCUACCAGACCUCCUACAUUUGA